UACGUAGGUGGCAAGCGUUGUCCGGAUUUACUGGGCGUAAAGAGCGCGCAGGCGGUCGUUCAAGUCGCGUGUGAAAGCCCCCGGCUCAACUGGGGAGGGUCAUUCGAUACUGUCCGACUCGAAGGCAGGAGAGGGAAGCGGAAUUCCCGGUGUAGUGGUGAAAUGCGUAGAUAUCGGGAGGAACACCAGUGGCGAAGGCGGCUUUCUGGCCUGUUCUUGACGCUGAGGCGCGAAAGCUAGGGGAGCGAACGGG
rnacentral:rRNA from 1 species